rnacentral:lncRNA from 1 species
UUUUAGAUUUUUUGAUCAAUAGUUGUAUUUUUUAAAUAUAAUUCUCAAAAAUUCUAUUUUAGGAAAGUUUUCAUUUUUACAUAGAAAUAUUGUAGAUUUGGGGUUGUGGUUUUGUAAUUAGGAUAAUAAUAAUUUUUGUUGAUAGAUGAGUAUUCUUUUAGAUUUUUUGAUCAAUAGCUGUAUUUUUUAAAUAUACUUCUCAAAAAUUAUAUUUUAGGAAAGUUCUAAUUUUUUAUAGAAAUAUUGUAGAUUUGGGGUUUGUGGUUUAGAAAUUAGGAUAACAAGAAUUUUUGUUGAUAGAUGAGUAUUCUUUUAGAUUUUUUGAUCAAUAGUUGUAUUUUUUAAAUAUUAUUCUCAAAAAUUCUAUUUUAGGAAAGUUUUCAUUUUUUCAUAAAAAUAUUGUAGAUUUUGGGUUGUGGUUUAGAAAUUAGGAUAACAAGAAUUUUUGUUGAUAGAUGAAUAUUUUUUUAAAUUUUUUAAUCAAUAAAUUGUAUUUUUUUAAAAUAAUUCUCAAAAAUUCUAUUUUUGAGGAAAAUUUUCAUUUUUAUAGAAAUAUUGUAGAUUUGGGGUUUGUGGUUUAGAAAUUAGGAUAACAAGAAUUUUUGUUGAUAGAUGAGUAUUCUUUUAGAUUUUUUUAUCAAUAGUUGUAUUUAUUAAAUAUAAUUCUCAAAAAUUCUAUUUUAGGAAAGUAUUCAUUUUUACAUAGAAAUAUUGUAGAUUUGGGGUUGUG